GACGAACCGUGCGAACGUUGUUCGGAAUCACUGGGCGUAAAGGGCGCGUAGGCGGCUUGGCAAGUGGAAGGUGAAAUCCCUCGGCUUAACCGAGGAACUGCCCUCCAAACUGCUUUGCUUGAGGCCGGGAGAGGUGAGUGGAAUUCCCAGUGUAGCGGUGAAAUGCGUAGAUAUUGGGAGGAACACCAGUGGCGAAGGCGGCUCACUGGACCGGUUCUGACGCUGAUGCGCGAAAGCGUGGGGAGCAAACGGG
rnacentral:rRNA from 1 species